AUUGAACGCUGGCGGCAGGCUUAACACAUGCAAGUCGAGCGGGGAGGUUGCUUCGGUAAUUGACCUAGCGGCGGACGGGUGAGUAAUACUUAGGAAUCUGCCUAUUAAUGGGGGACAACAUCUCGAAAGGGAUGCUAAUACCGCAUACGCCCUACGGGGGAAAGCAGGGGAUCACUUGUGACCUUGCGUUAAUAGAUGAGCCUAAGUCGGAUUAGCUAGUUGGUGGGGUAAAGGCCUACCAAGGCGACGAUCUGUAGCGGGUCUGAGAGGAUGAUCCGCCACACUGGGACUGGGACACGGCCCAGACUCCUACGGGAGGCAGCAGUGGGGAAUAUUGGACAAUGGGGGGAACCCUGAUCCAGCCAUGCCGCGUGUGUGAAGAAGGCCUUAUGGUUGUAAAGCACUUUAAGCGAGGAGGAGGCUCUUUUGGUUAAUACCCAAGAUGAGUGGACGUUACUCGCAGAAUAAGCACCGGCUAACUCUGUGCCAGCCGCCGCGGUAAUAC
rnacentral:rRNA from 1 species